GAUGAACGCUGGCGGCGUGCUUAACACAUGCAAGUCGAACGAUGAAGCCCAGCUUGCUGGGUGGAUUAGUGGCGAACGGGUGAGUAACACGUGAGUAACCUGCCCUUAACUCUGGGAUAAGCCUGGGAAACUGGGUCUAAUACCGGAUAGGAGCGUCCACCGCAUGGUGGGUGUUGGAAAGAUUUAUCGGUUUUAGAUGGACUCGCGGCCUAUCAGCUUGUUGGUGAGGUAAUGGCUCACCAAGGCGACGACGGGUAGCCGGCCUGAGAGGGUGACCGGCCACACUGGGACUGAGACACGGCCCAGACUCCUACGGGAGGCAGCAGUGGGGAAUAUUGCACAAUGGGCGCAAGCCUGAUGCAGCGACGCCGCGUGAGGGAUGACGGCCUUCGGGUUGUAAACCUCUUUCAGUAGGGAAGAAGCGAAAGUGACGGUACCUGCAGAAGAAGCACCGGCUAACUACGUG
rnacentral:rRNA from 1 species